UCCCUGGUGGCUCAGACGGUAAAGUGUCUGUCUGCAAUGUGGAAGACCUGGGUUCAAUCCCUAGGUUGGGAA
rnacentral:tRNA from 1 species